rnacentral:rRNA from 1 species
UACAGAGACCUCAAGCGUUAUCCGGAUUCACUGGGCGUAAAGCGUCCGCAGGCGGUCUGAUGCGUCUUUUGUUAAAGCCCCGAGCUUAACUCGGGAAUCGCAAGAGAUACGGUCGGACUAGAGGCCGGGAGAGGUAAGCGGAAUUGCCGGUGUAGCGGUAAAAUGCGUUUAUAUCGGCAAGAACACCAAAGGCGAAGGCAGCUUACUAGAACGGUCCUGACGCUCAUGGACGAAAGCGUGGGUAGCGAAUGGGAUUAGAUACCCCAGUAGUCCACGCCCUAAACGAUGGGUGCUAGGUAUUGGAAGUUUCGACCCUUCCAGUGCCGUCGUAACAAGCUAACGCGUUAAGCACCCCGCCUGGGUAGUACGGUCGCAAGACUAAAACUCAAAGGAAUAGACGGGGACCCGCACAAGCGGUGGACCAUGUGGUUCAAUUCGACGAUGAGCGAAGAACCUUACCAGGGUUUGACAUGUCGCUGCAUGCCCGAGGAAACUCGAGCAGCCUUCGAGGGUGCGACACAGGUGCUGCAUGGCUGUCAUCAGCUCGUGGCGUGAGCUGUACCCUUAAGUGGGGUAACGAGCGCAACCCUCAUCCUGCGUUAGUAUGUCGCAGGAAACCGCCCCCCACUUUGUUUUUCAGAAAUCUGGAAAAUAAAGUGGGGGGAGGAAGGUGGGGAUGACGUCAAGUCAGCAUGGCCCUUAUAUCCUGGGCGACACACGUGGUACAAUGGCCGGUACAGAGGGUUGCCAAGCCGUAAGGCGGAGCUAAUCCCAUCAAAGCCGGCCCCAGUUCGGAUUGAGGUCUGCAACUCGACCUCAUGAAGUUGGAAUCGCUAGUAACCGUGGGUCAGCUACACCACGGUGAAUACGUUCUCGGGUCU